CCUACGGGGGGCAGCAGUGAGGAAUAUUGGUCAAUGGGCGCAAGCCUGAACCAGCCAUGUCGCGUGCAGGAAGACUGCCCUAUGGGUUGUAAACUGCUUUUAUAGUAGAAGAAACACAUCUACGUGUAGAUGUCUGCCAGUAUACUAUGAAUAAGCAUCGGCUAACUCCGUGCCAGCAGCCGCGGUAAUACGGAGGAUGCAAGCGUUAUCCGGAUUUAUUGGGUUUAAAGGGUGCGUAGGCGGGACUGUAAGUCAGGGGUGAAAU
rnacentral:rRNA from 1 species